UGUUCUGUGGCGAAGUUGGAAAAGCACCCUGUUCCGAGAAUAGGGGAGAUGUGGGUUCAAAUCCCACCAGAACAU
rnacentral:tRNA from 1 species